rnacentral:rRNA from 1 species
CGUGGGUAACCUGCCCAAGAGACUGGGAUAACACCUGGAAACAGAUGCUAAUACCGGAUAACAACACUAGACGCACGUCUAGAGUUUAAAAGAUGGUUCUGCUAUCACUCUUGGAUGGACCUGCGGUGCAUUAGCUAGUUGGUAAGGUAACGGCUUACCAAGGCAAUGAUGCAUAGCCGAGUUGAGAGACUGAUCGGCCACAUUGGGACUGAGACACGGCCCAAACUCCUACGGAAGGCAGCAG